UUAUUUUGGGAUAUAAAGUCGGGAUUCUUGACCUUCGAAUUUAUUUUGAGAUAUAAGUUGUGCAUGAAUUUAUUGGUAUGGAACAAUUAGGAAAAUUUGGGACCAAAAGUGAAAAAUUGGAAGAAGAAAAUCAUCCACAACUUCCAUGGUUGGCCCACACAAUUUUGUGUCAUCUUUUAAUUGGGACAACACAUUAAUGUGGGCCAAGGGAUAUUGUACACUCUUUAUAUUAGAUAAAAGAUGACUUCUAGUCAUUAUUCUUCAUUCACCACACUUGGAAAAAAAAGGGGCAAAGCUGAAAACCUUCAAGGAGGCUCACGGCCAGCAGCAGCAACAAAGAUCAACUUCCAUUUCUUGUCCUUCAAAAAUUAUUUUGAUGAUGUAAACCCACUAUAUUGAGGUCCCUAAGUAGCGUGGAAGCAUCGUUGGAGCGAUCAACCCAUUAUUUUCAUCUUUUGGAAACCCUAGGCUAUUGGAAAGUUGAAGAAGGAAGACCUUGGGCAGCCCGAAUCAUAGGUUGGAUUUAGCUUGAGUUUGGAUCGUAUUGGAGAGCGGUUGAGGUACGGACGCACAGCCUGGUGAUCCACCUGUUUAGGACACCCUUUCUGCUAUUCGGAGUGCUCCUCUCUUUCCGGAGCUUAUACUUUUGGUAUAUAUAUUUAUUAGUGCAUUUGUAUAUAUUCGUUCAUGGGUACGGCGGGGCCCUGUCCCGUCAUAUGAUUCUGUCGGUCUGUUUAGAGGUCUGUGGACAUGUUUGUGGGUUAGGGUCUUUCUGUAUGGAUGCAUGUACAUGUCGUUUGGGCGAUCCCAUACGCCGAGGCGGCCGGUCCGCAUAUGUUGUUUGGGCGAUCCUAUACGCCAAGGCGGCCGGUCCGCAUAUGUUUAUAUAUUGCUUGGUUAGCCCUGUGUGGCUUUUGUUGGUA